ensembl:lncRNA
CAGCUGAGGUGCAGGGGUGGAGAGCAUGGGAGGGUGGGGUCAGUGGGGGGCAAAGUCAAGGGGACCAGGGAACUGAGUAAGGAGGGGAGGAGCUGGAGGGAUUGAGCAAGGGACCCAGGCUAGAGAAGUAAGGAGAGUAAGGAAGCAAGUGAUGCCAUAAGAAAAAUAGGAGAGUUUCUAGGACUAAGAAAUAUCCCAUUCCAAUAUCACCUGUUAAUUACUCACCCGAUAUUUCUCUUGCAUUGUUUUACACAGAUAUUUAAAAGUGAGACUUCCAGGCAAAUGAAGCAUGGGCAGGAUUUUGAUCUGUUGCAGUGCUUGGAUCAUGCUGAGAAUACGUGGCAGGCACCAAUGGUACAAGGUGUGAUGGGGAUGCACGGUUUUUCACAGACAUGACAACUCAUAUGGUCAAGACAGUCUUCUUGGUGGCCCAUGCUAGUCCCUGGAUGCUGCAGCCACCCACAGUACUGGUUCCUUCUGUCUGCACCGUCCUCUCUCCUCAGUUGUACUACGCCAUCAUUCUUUCCACGUAGAUUUGACUUGGGUGGGUUUCAUUUUUUAGAAAUCAUCAAAAAUCUUUCAAGCAUUGUUUGAUGGAUGAGGUAGUUGAGCAAAUGGAGUAUUGUACUUUUGGUCAAAAACAAAAUGACAAUAAAAUAAUGAGACCAAAUUCUGGGGGAGGACUCACCAACUACUUGAGGACAUCGACUAGAGGAAUUCUGAAACAGUCCUGAGCAGGACGAUGUGAAAUAGGAGUCUGUUCUCCCAGGGUGAGUAUCGGAAAAGACAACAUUCAUUUAAAUAGAUUAGCUGAUGCACUUGUUUAAAAUCUUGUCUCCUUUCUUCGGAGGGACACCUGACAUGCUGCAUUGCCAACUUCGUGUAUUACACUGCAGAAGCCCAAGUCUACGGCUGGCAAACGCAAGGCACACUGGGGGUCUGGAGCGAGGUCUGCGCGCUGGAGACAAUUGUUACAAUUUGUGUGGUCUAAUAAGCGGUCUCAGAAGAUUAGACAUGAAGUAAUGGGGAUCUGCAGGAAAUCAAGCCAUAAGGAAACCAGGGCGACUUGAAGUCCCAUCGGUAAGGAAGAAAAGAGCCUCACCCUGGGGUAAGGACCAGUAGCAGAAGGCUUAAUUGUUACCAUGUCGUGGUGUGAACCCACCGUGUCACUGCCCGAGCUAAUGGGAACCUGAUGCAGCCAGCUUCCUGAGCCCCGCCAGUCUUGACUUCAAACACAGGCAGCCCAUCCCGCAGGAUCAGGCAAGCUCGAGUCACAGGUUUAUUUCCUCGCCAACAAAAGAGUACCUCCCGGCCCCCAGCCCCACGCCCCCAUCAGCGAAAAUGGGCCCCACCCGCCCCGGACCCUGGCUGGGCUUUAGGACCACCCCUCCUGUUUUCCCUAUUUCACACUUCAUUCUAACUUCCCCUCCAGGAAAGUCUUCCAGACUCAUCUCAGGAGCCUCCAAGAGCCUCUGACUCUGUUUGCAGACCCAGGAGUGAGAGAAAGUUCACAGGUCACUUGCCAGCAAGCCCCAGUGAGCCAGCUGUCGGUGGGGAGGGCACAUGGGGUCUGCAGAUGUGCGUAGUGAGAUCAGGUAUUGGGAAUUCAUCCUGAAUGGGAAUGGACAACAGCAGCAGAGAGAAUCCCCGCCGCAGCAGAAAGCUUAGGGCUCUGUUUGUCACGUUCCUACCUGCGUUUUUCACUUGUUAUGCUGCUGGCCCUUAACGAGAAACUGCCAAAGUAGCAGGCACAGAAUCCUUCUGUUUCUGUGACUGGAAAAGUGUUUACAGUCCCUGGUGUUUGGGGUCAGCCCAAAGCCCCAAGGCAGGCAAGCAUUACACCAGGUCUCCUCUCUGAGGAGGAGGGGUGUCCUGGAACUUAAAGCUUCCUGGGGCUCUUUCUCGGACUCCAAUUCCCACAGGCAGCCUUGGUGUUUUUCCUUUGCUGAGAUUUCUAAAGUUCCCUUUUUUACAUCCCUUCCCGACAUGUAAACUGCACACACUAGGGUGAAAAGGUAGGUGUUUAAGACAGACUGCAACAGCUGGGAUAAACUGCCUCUUCACGAAAUGCAUCUCUUUAUAUUUGGGGCAUUUGUAAGCAGAAGGGGAGUGAAACCCGAGAAGAUUAUGUGAUAACCAGACUAUAUCCUGUCAAGAGAGAGAGUGUUUCUCCAAUAACAAAAAGAUGAGCUUCUAGAUAGCCUACCAGAUAGCCGCCUUCCGCCCCACGUCUCCCAUCGUAAAUCUGCAUUCUUACUCAGGUUUUUUGUAGAUUUUUGAGGAUAGAGCUCAUUUCCCUGGAGAGACAUGCCUAAGGAAAGAUCUGGAAUUCCUCCAGUUAAAAAAAGCCACCAUUCUGCUUAAUCAACAUUUGCUCCAUCAGAAUCAAUAUCCUGCAGAGGGCAGUUUUCAUUGUUCUAAAGUCUGUUUGCAGGUGGCAGAGCAAAGAUUUGGUUCGUGAUAAAGAUUUGCUGAAAAGGAAAAGAAAAUAUUUCUCAGAAUAGCAAACAAGCCUCCCAAACUCGCCUUUUACAAAUGAGCUUCCUUUUGUGAGACACUCUGCCUGGUUUUGCACACUCAAGUAAUCCCAGUAACCUGACAACACGUCUAUUCCCAGAGUGAUCUAUUCUUUCUCACUGACAGGGGCUCAGCCCUUUACUAGACAUCUAAUAAGUUUUCGGUCCUCUUCAAACCUUAAUUUCUUCAGUACUAGUUCCCUACCCUGCAGUUUGUCAAUGAAACACAGCGUGUGCGAAAUGACCUAGCCCAUGCUGGACACGCGGCAACAGGUUCCCUGCUCUGCUUGCUUUAGCCACAGAACGGAGAGGAGGCAGACAGGCUUGAGAAUCUGAACUGGGUUCAAGUUCCAGCUGCUUUACUUUUCACGAGGUGUCCUUCGACAGAUCCCUUAGCCUGGCAUCUUCCCCGAAUUUCAGUCUCCUCAUCUAUAAAAAGAGGAUAAUGACAUCUCUCCUCCUUUCAGAGAGGGCUGAUGAGAGCCUAAGGAACAAUAUAAAUCUGGUAAUAGACAUUUGUAUAUUUAUAAACUGCAAAGCACAUAAAUCUUGUUAAUUAUAAUCAUUAAUUUCGUCACCAUUGAAUAUACU